AUCCAGCUGACGAGUCGUAAAUAGGACGAAACGCGCGUCCUGAAU
rfam:Schistosoma mattheei strain Denwood, Zambia genome assembly, scaffold: SMTD_scaffold0003660